CGAAAUCACCUAUACUACGUCGUUUUGAAGUUUUGAAGUGUACCCUUAUAUUUGCCCUAAAUCUAAAAGCCGAGAGUUCACGCUAUGACGCUACUAAUCUCCAUUCCACGCCGCCUCCCUCACAUCAGACAUGCCUGUGCCUCUUCUCCGAGCAUUGAGCUCCACCGCUUCCAGCAGGUACACUGUCCACCGUCCGACCUCCACUCUCCUCCCGACAUCGACCGAUUAACCAUCGUGGCUAACUCGGGUCAUCGAUCUUCACUUGCAACGCUGAGUCGCCGACUCCUCCUCACCUCACUGUCGCUCUCUAGUCUCUCUCUCCAGUCUCCACACAAUCGUCGGUCGUCGCUCUCCACGCAAUCUUCGGCCGUCGCUCUCCAGUCCAUCGGCUGUCCGCGCCGUAGCAACUUGGUUGUCCGAGCAGUGACACACAAAGCAAUUCCAGUAACUCAUCAGUCAUCACUCAAUCCAACGGCGGAGAAUCAUCCCAUUUCACAUUUUUUGGACAUCACACUCUCGUACGCAUCAACGCGAAGAUCGCUUUGCUUCUCCCAAAUUUUGGAUGUGUCGGCCAUCUUUCUGAUUCACUUUUCGGCCGUCGCUCUCUUCCUCAGUCCUCAGUCUUUCUCAGUUCUCAAUCCUCGCCUCCUCUGUCCUCAUCAGCAACUGUAAAUGGACUUGGGUGGAGAGCCGACCGAAUGUUUUCUCCAGUCCAUCAGAAAAGUUUAAAAAUCGGUUCAACUGAUCAAA